rnacentral:rRNA from 1 species
AAGGUAAGGAAUAACGUCGAGAAAUCGGCGCUAAUACCUCAUAAUGCAGCGGAUCCGCAUGGAUAUGAUGUUAAAGGUUUACCGCUUUGGGAUAGGCUUGCGUCUGAUUAGCUAGUUGGUGUGGUAACGGCACACCAAGGCUACGAUCAGUAACUGGUCUGAGAGGAUGAUCAGUCACACUGGAACUGAGACACGGUCCAGACUCCUACGGGAGGCAGCAGUGAGGAAUAUUGGGCAAUGCUCGAAAGAGUGACCCAGCAACGCCGCGUGGAGGAUGAAGGUAUUCUAUUAUCGUAAACUCCUGUGAGAGCAGACGAAAGACAGAUUAUUAAUCUGGAUGACCGUAUGCUCAGAGGAAGCCCCGGCUAACUACGUG